UACGUAGGGGGCGAGCGUUGUCCGGAUUCAUUGGGCGUAAAGAGCUCGUAGGCGGUUCGGCAAGUCGGGUGUGAAAACUCCAGGCUCAACCUGGAGACGCCACCCGAUACUGCUGUGACUCGAGUCCGGUAGGGGACCACGGGAAUUCCUGGUGUAGCGGUGAAAUGCGCAGAUAUCAGGAGGAACACCGGUGGCGAAGGCGGCAUCCUGGACCGGCAUUGACGCUGAGGCGCGAAAGCCAGGGGAGCAAACGGG
rnacentral:rRNA from 1 species